UGGCUCAGUGGUUAAGAGCACUGACUGCUCUUCCAGAAGUCCUGGGUUCAAUUCCCAG
rnacentral:tRNA from 1 species